rnacentral:lncRNA from 1 species
CUUCCUCCGCCAAUUCCAGUUUACAAGAAGCCACUUCCUCCGCCAAUUCCAGUUUACAAGAAGCCACUUCCUCCACCAAUUCCAGUUUACAAGAAGCCGUUUCCCCAUCCAAUCUUCAAGAAGCCGAUUCCAAAAUUCAAGAAGCCAUUUCCUCCGCAUCCAUUCCUUGGGAAGCCAUUUCCUCCGCAUCCAUUCCUUGGGAAGCCGUUACCUCCCACUGUUCCCUAAACUAGACUAGCUACUUUUCCUUCCAAAUAAGAGAUGAGUAGCAUAUAAAUAGCUAUAGAAUAAAGUCCUACAUGGAGAGAGAAAUGAGGUUGUUGUAACUUUAUUAUCUUGAAAUUGUGGGUUGUGUUGUUGUACUUGUUUGAUUCUGCUGUUAUGCAGCUAC